AAGUUCCUGUAUUUUUAUGUGGAGUUGCUCACUGCCCAACGUAGAGGACUAGGAAUCAGGAGUCGGUGGCCGUAUGCUGGAGGCUGGAGCCGCGGGAGCGCGGCUCGCCUCGCUGCGGUUGUUGGCAGUGACGGAGAGAGAGCAGCGCGGCUGGAGCAGGACAUUGUAUUAGUUUCCUGCAAUAAAAUAUUUUUACAAUGUCAGUUUGUCGAAACUGCUGGACUGUAAACUAUUUCUAAUCGAAACCUGAAAUUGUGUCACAACAUGGCUGUAUUACGAUUCCAUGUCAGAGGAAGGAUAUAUACGUGCAUCUGGUAGUGGCUUCCAGUUGUUGCUGUCAGAUGUUUGUUUGGGAAUGCAUUCAGAAGAGCUUAUCAAGGACUUGAGUACAAAACAAGCAUUUCCACAAAAAAGCAGUGACACAAAUCACUAUGUAAUAUAGUUAGCCUUUGAACAACACGGAUUUGAACUGCAGGGGUCUACUUAUGAGCAGAUUUUCUCCCACCUCUACCACCUGAGACAGCGAAGACCAAUCUUCCUCUUCCUCCUUCUCCUUAGCCUGCUCAACUUGAAGACUAUGAUGAAGAGUUAUAUAAUGAUCUACUUGCAUUUAAUGAACACAAAAACAACAGACCUUCAUUCAGCUUAGGAACAUAAUAAAUAGGACGAAGUUGAAUAAACGAAAUGGAGGGGAGUGAAGUAUUCCAGAUGGAAGAGGCAGUACGUGGCCAAGAGGAAACAGACCAUGUGCGCUGGAGAAAAAGGAUGGCCAGACUUGCAGAAACCUGGAAUUGGUGAUUGGCUUUAGAAGUGGAGAGACAAAAAAGGAGGCAUAGAAAGUGCCAACAUUUGGCUACACAGGGAAGAAAGACGUAAAAUAAUAAAAACAUUGGCAUCACCUGUAGACUCAAAUCCUGUGAGUGAAGGACCUGAGCAAUGAAGGAUGGAUUGAACUCGUGAUUAGCCUUCUUCAGCAUAUGUAAAAUGAUGUCUGCUUUUCUUCUCUAUUUGUCAUUUUACCGACUUUUUAUAUAUAGUAGUUUCCCCAUAUCCAUGGAGGAUGUAUCCCAAGACCCCCAGAGGAUGCUUGAAACCACAGAUAAUAACAAACUCUAUGUAUCCUAUGAUUUUUCCUGUACAUCCUUACCUAUCAUAAAAAAUUGAAGUUGAAGUAUAAGGAG
rnacentral:lncRNA from 1 species